AUAUUGGACAAUGGGGGGAACCCUGAUCCAGCCAGGCCGCGCGUGUGAAGAAGGCUCUUGGGUAGUAAAGCACUUUAAGCGUGGAGGAGUCUACUGAGAGUAAUACUCUCGAUUAGUGGACGUUACUCGCAGAAUAAGCACCGGCGAACUCUGUGCUAGCAGACGCGGUAAUACAGAGGGUGCAAGCGUUAAUCGGAUUUACUGGGCGUAAAGCGCGCGUAGGUGGCCAAUUAAGUCAAAUGUGAAAUCCCCGAGCUUAACUUGGGAAUUGCAUUCGAUACUGGUUGGCUAGAGUAUGGGAGAGGAUGGUAGAAUUCCAGGUGUAGCGGUGAAAUGCGUAGAGAUCUGGAGGAAUACCGAUGGCGAAGGCAGCCAUCUGGCCUAAUACUGACACUGAGGUGCGAAAGCAUGGGGAGCAAACAG
rnacentral:rRNA from 1 species